CAGUAACGUCAUAACUAACAAAUUAAUUGUGACGUCUUUUUUUGGCGAAAAAGUCAUGUCAAUAGGCAAAAUGGUGGCGGAAAACAAUAAAGGUAAGCAUUGUAAUCAUUUGAUUUUAACGUCACUAGCUUUGCAUAUAAAAGUUUCUUCUCUAAAUAAUUGCAAUAUUUUAAAUGACUAACACUAUUUAAAAAUAUAGAAAGACG
rnacentral:lncRNA from 1 species